AGUGAACGCUGGCGGUAGGCCUAACACAUGCAAGUCGAACGGCAGCACAGUAAGAGCUUGCUCUUACGGGUGGCGAGUGGCGGACGGGUGAGGAAUACAUCGGAAUCUACUUUUUCGUGGGGGAUAACGUAGGGAAACUUACGCUAAUACCGCAUACGACCUACGGGUGAAAGCAGGGGAUCUUCGGACCUUGCGCGAUUGAAUGAGCCGAUGUCGGAUUAGCUAGUUGGCGGGGUAAAGGCCCACCAAGGCGACGAUCCGUAGCUGGUCUGAGAGGAUGAUCAGCCACACUGGAACUGAGACACGGUCCAGACUCCUACGGGAGGCAGCAGUGGGGAAUAUUGGACAAAGGGCGCAAGCCUGAUCCAGCCAUACCGCGUGAGUGAAGAAGGCCUUCGGGUUGUAAAGCCCUUUUGUUGGGAAAGAAAAGCAGCAGGUUAAUACCCCGCUGUUCUGACGGUACCCAAAGAAUAAGCACCGGCUAACUUCGUG
rnacentral:rRNA from 1 species